rnacentral:rRNA from 1 species
AGAGUUUGAUCCUGGCUCAGAACGUACGCUGGCGGCACGCCUAACACAUGCAAGUCGAACGAAGUAGCAAUACUUAGUGGCAGACGGGUGAGUAACAUGUGGGUAUCUGCCCUUUGGCCUGGAAUAACACGAGGAAACUUGUGCUAAUACCGGAUAAGUCUUUACGGAGAAAGCUUUAUGCACCAUUGGAUGAGCCCGCACUUGAUUAGUUUGUUGGUGGGGUAAUGGCCUACCAAGACUGUGAUCAAUAGCUGAUUUGAGAGGAUGAUCAGCCACAUUGGGACUGAGACACGGCCCAAACUCCUACGGGAGGCAGCAGUGGGGAAUCUUGCACAAUGGAGGAAACUCUGAUGCAGCGAUGCCGCGUGAGUGAAGAAGGCCCUUGGGUUGUAAAGCUCUUUCGUCGGGGAAGAAAAUGACUGUACCCGAAUAAGAAGGUCCGGCUAACUUCGUGCCAGCAGCCGCGGUAAU